ACGAACGCUGGCGGCGUGCCUAAUACAUGCAAGUCGAACGCUUCUUUUUCCACCGGAGCUUGCUCCACCGGAAAAAGAGGAGUGGCGAACGGGUGAGUAACACGUGGGUAACCUGCCCAUCAGAAGGGGAUAACACUUGGAAACAGGUGCUAAUACCGUAUAACAAUCGAAACCGCAUGGUUUUGAUUUGAAAGGCGCUUUCGGGUGUCGCUGAUGGAUGGACCCGCGGUGCAUUAGCUAGUUGGUGAGGUAACGGCUCACCAAGGCGACGAUGCAUAGCCGACCUGAGAGGGUGAUCGGCCACAUUGGGACUGAGACACGGCCCAAACUCCUACGGGAGGCAGCAGUAGGGAAUCUUCGGCAAUGGACGAAAGUCUGACCGAGCAACGCCGCGUGAGUGAAGAAGGUUUUCGGAUCGUAAAACUCUGUUGUUAGAGAAGAACAAGGAUGAGAGUAACUGUUCAUCCCUUGACGGUAUCUAACCAGAAAGCCACGGCUAACUACGUGCCAGCAGCCGCGGUAAUACGUAGGUGGCAAGCGUUGUCCGGAUUUAUUGGGCGUAAAGCGAGCGCAGGCGGUUUCUUAAGUCUGAUGUGAAAGCCCCCGGCUCAACCGGGGAGGGUCAUUGGAAACUGGGAGACUUGAGUGCAGAAGAGGAGAGUGGAAUUCCAUGUGUAGCGGUGAAAUGCGUAGAUAUAUGGAGGAACACCAGUGGCGAAGGCGGCUCUCUGGUCUGUAACUGACGCUGAGGCUCGAAAGCGUGGGGGGCAAACAGGAUUAGAUACCCUGGUAGUCCACGCCGUAAACGAUGAGUGCUAAGUGUUGGAGGGUUUCCGCCCUUCAGUGCUGCAGCUAACGCAUUAAGCACUCCGCCUGGGGAGUACGACCGCAAGGUUGAAACUCAAAGGAAUUGACGGGGGCCCGCACAAGCGGUGGAGCAUGUGGUUUAAUUCGAAGCAACGCGAAGAACCUUACCAGGUCUUGACAUCCUUUGACCACUCUAGAGAUAGAGCUUCCCCUUCGGGGGCAAAGUGACAGGUGGUGCAUGGUUGUCGUCAGCUCGUGUCGUGAGAUGUUGGGUUAAGUCCCGCAACAAGCGCAACCCUUAUUGUUAGUUGCCAUCAUUUAGUUGGGCACUCUAGCAAGACUGCCGGUGACAAACCGGAGGAAGGUGGGGAUGACGUCAAAUCAUCAUGCCCCUUAUGACCUGGGCUACACACGUGCUACAAUGGGAAGUACAACGAGUCGCAAAGUCGCGAGGCUAAGCUAAUCUCUUAAAGCUUCUCUCAGUUCGGAUUGUAGGCUGCAACUCGCCUACAUGAAGCCGGAAUCGCUAGUAAUCGCGGAUCAGCACGCCGCGGUGAAUACGUUCCCGGGCCUUGUACACACCGCCCGUCACACCACGAGAGUUUGUAACACCCGAAGUCGGUGAGGUAACCUUUUGGAGCCAGCCGCCUAAGGUGGGAUAGAUGAUUGGGGUG
rnacentral:rRNA from 1 species